AUGGCUGUCGUCAGCUCGUGUCGUGAGAUGUUGGGUUAAGUCCCGCAACGAGCGCAACCCUCAUCCUUAGUUGCCAGCAUUGAGUUGGGCACUCUAGGGAGACUGCCGGUGACAAGCCGGAGGAAGGUGGGGAUGACGUCAAGUCCUCAUGGCCCUUACGGGCUGGGCUACACACGUGCUACAAUGGCAUCUACAAUGGGCAGCGAACCCGCGAGGGUAGGCUAAUCCCCAAAGGAUGUCUCAGUUCGGAUUGUACUCUGCAACUCGAGUGCAUGAAGUCGGAAUCGCUAGUAAUCGUGGAUCAGCAUGCCACGGUGAAUACGUUCCCGGGCCUUGUACACACCGCCCGUCACACCAUGGGAGUUGGCUUUACCCGAAGACGGUGC
rnacentral:rRNA from 1 species